rnacentral:rRNA from 1 species
GACGAACGCUGGCGGCGUGCUUAACACAUGCAAGUCGAACGGAAAGGCCCUGCUUUUGUGGGGUGCUCGAGUGGCGAACGGGUGAGUAACACGUGAGUAACCUGCCCUUGACUUUGGGAUAACUUCAGGAAACUGGGGCUAAUACCGGAUAGGAGCUCCUGCUGCAUGGUGGGGGUUGGAAAGUUUCGGCGGUUGGGGCUGGACUCGCGGCUUAUCAGCUUGUUGGUGGGGUAGUGGCUUACCAAGGCUUUGACGGGUAGCCGGCCUGAGAGGGUGACCGGCCACAUGGGGACUGAGGUAGGGACCAGACGGCAACAGGAGGCAGCGGGGGAAAAUAUGGCACAGUGGGCGGAAGCGUGAGGCAGCAACGCCGGGUGCGGGAUGACGGCCUUCGGGUUGUAAACCGCUUUCGCCUGAGACGAAGCGUGAGUGACGGUAAUGGGUAAAGAAGCACCGGCUAACUACGUG